UCGUGCUGGAGGGAUUAUAGAGUCUAAUCUGGUUUGGGAACACCUCAGGGUCCAGCAGGAGGAGCUGGAAAACGUUGCCAGGCAGAGGGAUGUUGGAGCAUCUUGCUCAGUCUGCAGCCACUGUGACCAGACCCUGAACAAGCAGCAGAAAAUGGACGGAUGGAAGAUUUCUCUUCAGUAGCUUGGUGCCACAGACAAGGUGGAGUAAAAGCCUUAUAAUCCAGUGGUGGCGAGCUGUGAGAGGACGGCGUUUGGCUGCAGGUGGAGGGCCGGUGUGCAUUACCUCGGCCUAUCACGGACUCAUUUGAAAGACCUGUUUGAAGCCAGCAGGAGUGGGAGAUGAAAGUCCUGGCACAGCACACUUUGACAUCAUCAAAACACAACUCCCUCACAACACUCAGCAGCUCUAAUGGCUGUGUUAAAAGCCUCUCGCUCCCCGCAGCCCUUCAUUUUCCCAGGAGUGACCCCACUUGCUCCGACGAAGUGCUCUUCACAGGGCUGUCAUCUGAAAAGGUCAGAUCCAGAGAGCGAACGAGGCAUGAGAGAAAUAAGAUGGAGAUCCACGCCAUCCAUCUCGCUGUCUGGAUCAAGACACCACUCUGACCUUUAACAGUGGAUCAGCCUCAACAAACUAUCAAAGUAUGCAGCCAAACUGGGAGCUAAAACGUCAAGAAAAGCAUGAAUAACAGAAGAGCGGCGGUGGUGAUCUGAGCAGCGUUGGAGCUAGCUGUUAGCAUGCUAACUUCAGUCGAAGAAAACAAGUGACAGAACCAGGAGCAGAAGUUUGGUGUUGCUUCCCACCACUGCAGAGAGCUCUUAGUGACAAAAGGAAUGAAGUUUAAUGCUAAAGUCACAACGUUUCUUCUAGACUGGUGAGUAAACAGCUGUUAAUGCUAAUGCUAGCUAUGUAGCGAUAGCAGAAACUUAGAUGUAGCACCUUAAAAGAAGGAUAUAAUCAUCAUUUUAAGUGAUGCUCAUCUAUGGAGAGCCUAUAAAAUGUUUAUGUGUUUUGUCGUUCAAACUUCACAUACUCACUCUAGUUAUCAGCAGGACAAAAGACAUCAGGGGGUCUUAAGGACCAAAAUUUAGACAUCUAAGUUUCCCAUUGUCAUUGUUUCAACAGCAUUUAAAUUACUAAAUUUGAAUGGGAAACAGGCAUCGAGUACAGUGGUUAAAUGUGACCUGAACCUCAAAACAAAGAAAAGAAAAGCCCAGUUUUAACCUGAAGGCCUUGAUGUCCUCUCCAGCAAAUCAAUAAAUCAGUGCUUCAGGGGAAAUGCUUUACAAACGUCUUUUUUUCAGUCCAGUUUGUCGCCGUUUUCUUGAUCCAGUUUCACCGAUGGAAAACUUAAAAAAGCAGAGUGAAACUGAGAGGAUUUAUUAAACAAAAAAUGUCCCUGGCGCGAUAAAACAAAGCAUAAGUGAUCAUUCUUUACACUUCACUAAAUGAUGAUACAGUUAUGUUUAUAAAAUAAAUCUUGACAGUAGUAGACGAUAACUCACUUGUCCUUUUGGCUCAGCUGGAUAAGACACAUACCAUUUACUCACAGCAGGACCGAGUCCAACUAAUGACCUCAGUCACAUCAACCCACAUUUUACUCUUGCUCAUCACUCUUGUGACUCACCGCUGUAUGCUUUCUGCUCGAAUAAAACGAGACUGGUUUGCAAUAAUCCAAACACACACAUAUCACACACACCUGGA